CCCGUCAGCACCGGCCAGCCAACCUGAAAACAUUUGAAAGUAUUUUUGGGCUAAGUACUAAUGUACUCAGUAGGCAUGCAUUUUCAUAAAUAUUUCAUAUUUUCGUAAAGACAGUUUAUCCAAUUAUAAUUGACAUAACUUAGAAGGUUUUAAAUUGAAAGAAACUUCUAAGCAUGUUAAAACAUUUUUCAUUUGUGCGCACAUGUCACACUCCCUUUCUGUUACUCGCUGUGAUCCCGGACCUCUAGCCACCGACGGAUCCAUUUCUCCCAUUGCACUUGCCCUGAGGACGUAACUCAGACAAGUUGAAUUGACCUCGGGACGCUACCCAGGCAGGCCUUACAUGAUACAUGCUCC
rnacentral:lncRNA from 1 species